GUAAGAAAUAAGAAUAUUGCAUGGUUACAAUUCUUGAAUGCUUACCUUGUGUCUUGUUCCUUACUCUACAGAAAUUUUCUAAUCCCGUGGCGAACCCCCGUACUUCAACGUAUGACAUUCUGUAAAUCUACAAAACAGAUGGGUCCCUGCCUUUGAGAAGUUUUUACAAUUUAGUGGGUACUGGACACGGACCUAAUUUAAUUCUCACAUGCCUUCCCUUUCUAAUAAGCUGCAUGUUAUGUAUCCCUAUUCUACAGAUGUGGGGAAUCCGAAAUUUUUAGCUUUUACUGGGACACACAGCUAGCAAGCAACUAAAGCGAGAAUUCCAACCUGAGCUCCAAUCCGAACUAUUUUCAUAAAAGGCAGGAUCCCAGGCUGAGGGAGUUCGAGGUUUGGGAGACAGUUUAGCAGUCGCUGAGUCCAAACAUGUUGUUUUCCUAGAAAAGAAAACUGAGAUCCAGGAAAGGGAAGUGAUUUUCCAAAGACACACCUGUGAAAGCCGUGUUGAACCAUGAAAGGACCUCAGGAAUGAAACCCACACACAGCAAAGCAACAAAGUGAAAGAAGCGUGGAUUCCUAAUGCAGGAGGCACUGAACCAAUCAAUACCCACUGCCCUCCAGACCUCCACAUGAAAGAAAAAAACUGCUGUCCUGUGAAGAAGACACUCCCCAGAUGCCAGCAACUUGAUAUUGGACUUCCUGCCUUUAGAAACGUGAGAAAUAAAUUUUUUUUCUUUAUAAGUUACCCAGCCUCUGGCAUUCUGUUAUAGCAGCACAGAACAGACUAAGACAGCCACUGAAACCAGAUCUAUGUCCCGGACCACCCUCAUUUGCCUCAAUUUCUCUCUAUAUAUAAUAAGAACAAAUAAUGCAAAUGCUAUCUAUACUUCCCCGUGACUACAGGGAGACUAAGGGAUGAAAUAUAUAAUCACACUUUGAAAAUAUAUAAAUGUUAUCCAACCAUACAUCCAUUGUUUCACAUCAGGCUGGGCCACAUAGCUUCCUCUGUACCCUUUAGUUUCCUGCCCUUAUCUCUAUCACAGGCCAUAUAUCAAAUGCCUAGUAAUUAUCAGUGCAUCUAUAUAUUCCCUAUUCUCCCCAACAAUACAUAAAAGGUUAUUGCAUUGCAUUGAAUUAUAAGACUUGAUUACUGGAAAGUCUAGACAUCACUCAGGGUCAUUGUGGGG
rnacentral:lncRNA from 1 species